rnacentral:rRNA from 1 species
CGGCAACAGCUCAAAUUUGAAAUCUGGCCCCAGGCCCGAGUUGUAAUUUGCAGAGGAUGCUUUUGGCGCGGUGCCUUCCGAGUUCCCUGGAACGGGACGCCAUAGAGGGUGAGAGCCCCG